GACGAACGCUGGCGGCGUGCUUAACACAUGCAAGUCGAACGGAAACGCCCUGCUUUUGUGGGGUGCUCGAUUGGCGAACGGGUGAGUAACACGUGAGUAACCUGCCCUUGACUUUGGGAUAACUUCAGGAAACUGGGGCUAAUACCGGAUAGGAGCUCCUGCUGCAUGGUGGGGGUUGGAAAGUUUCGGCGGUUGGGGAUGGACUCGCGGCUUAUCAGCUUGUUGGUGGGGUAGUGGCUUACCAAGGCUUUGACGGGUAGCCGGCCUGGGCGGGUGACCGGCCACAUUGGGCCUGAGAUGCGGCCCAGCCUCCUACGGGAGGCAGCAGUGGGGAAUAUUGCACAAUGGGCGGAAGCCUAAUGUAGCAACGCCGCGUGCGGGAUGACGGCCUUCGGGUUGUAAAGUGCUUUCGCCUGUGACGAAGCGUGAGUGACGGUAACGGGUAAAGAAGCACCGGCUAACUACGUG
rnacentral:rRNA from 1 species